AAAUUUUAAAUAUUUUUGGCUGAAAGUACCAAACUUAUAAUGUUAUAUGGAAUAAUAAACCAAAUAUAGAAUCCCACACAUAUAUUUUUUUCAAAGAAAUCUAGCUACUUAUAUUUAUAUAUGUUAUUAUAAUAGUUUGUCAAUUGAAGGGAUUGUGGAAUCACGCACAUAAUUAAAAUUGGUUUUAUCUCGCAUAGGAAAACAUGACAAUAGAAAGAAAAAAAAGAGUAGCCUUUUCAAGUUAUCUAAGGAAGUUAGUUAGGCUGAUAUAGCUCAAAGUACGACUCUCUCUCUUAUCUCUAAAAAUCUUUUAGAGAGAGAGUCGGUGUCGUGUUCUUGUCGCCGACGGUUUCUGGCGGCUUGUUCUCCCGUUCAUCAGGAACUGACUCCGGUAUACAGCGGUCUCCUUGAAGCUGUAUAGUCGGCUUUUAACUCUGGUGGCUCGCGUUCAUCUCGGCAGAGCUAUCUGGCUUUUGGCUCCGGUGGUGCUUUUGUGGUGGCGUCGCUGGCUUCUUCCGGGUUAUACCGGAUCUGUUUGGACUUCGCCUCUUGCUAUCCCUUGUUUCAAUCGCUCUUUUUUCUUCGUUGAUGAUGGAUCGAUUGAUGACGAUUGAUCUUUUAUAAGAAGUGUAGUUCUGUUUGGUGCUUUGGCUUUGAUUUCUGGUAGUUGGGUUCAUUAGAUUCGCUUUUGGUUUCGGUUGAUUGAUGUUCUCUAGUGGACGGAACUCCGGUGGCGAAGGCUUAAGCGCUAGGGUUAAAGGUCUUCAUUUUCCAUUAAUGUUGUCGGCGGUUUCUUUCGACGGAAUCCUAUUUCCGGUGUGUCCAGUGGAUUUUCGGUAAGUCAUCCGGUGACGACUUACUAGUCGGUGGUGACAUAUGCUUUGCUGUCCAACACGCGUCUUCUCUUUUCAGCAGGUCCUACACGUGUUUGGUGGGUCAAUCCGAUCACCCUUCUUAAGCUUUUCUUUUUCUCUUAGCCUUGGCUGUUUGUUGUUUUUGUUUUGGGCUUCGUCCCUUAUGGGCUUCGUCCCAUUAAUAAUAUACUUCAGGACGACAAAAAAAAAAAAAGAGUAAAUAAAUAAAACCUUAAUUUUUCUGGUUUUCGAUAAUGACUCUAACUAAUGUAUGAACUCGAUAAGGAUAUAAAACAUCUAUAUUCUCUCAACGUAACCGACAAUUAACACUCACA
rnacentral:lncRNA from 1 species